rnacentral:lncRNA from 1 species
AUGGUUCUUCCCACCCCUCAAGGAGCGCAGCCUCGGCUCCCCCCUGCCAACACUCGAGAGGGAUCUGGGAGCGAGACAUCAGUUAAUCCCACCUCCUUGACAUUUUGGCCGGGAAAGGGAGAAAGCCCACCCGGCUGCUCUGUCCACGCCUCUCGACCGGGAACCCCGGAGGAGCGCUCAAAAGGCGCUUUCCUCCAGAGCGCCCGCGCGCAGAGGCGACAGAGACGCCGCGGCAGCCCAGCUGCGUCCUAUGGAGAGAGAAUUCGGCGGCGCCCUUCUGGCGCGCUCCACACCGGGACGCCUUUCGACCUUUCCCCCAACAGGUGGCGAAGGGCUCUCCGCGGCGGCGGCAGCAACCGAGCGAGCGUGACCGUGCUGCAGGCCACCACGAUCGGAAAGCGAAAUCACUUUAACCCGGACCCGAGGCGAUUUGCCGGACGGAAAACGCGGCCGAAGCCAAGGGAAGAGCUCCGGCCGCGGCUUGGGCUUCUCUUCGCCCCUUCCGGAAGACGAGAGCGCGGCGGCGGCGGCGGCCACUUUUGCCAUUUUAAUUUCCCGCUUCCACGCCUGCCGGGCCGCCCGCUGCCAAGGUUUGGCGCCGGGGCCACAGCACCAUGGACGCGACCGCGACGGCAGCAGCCCCACCAUGAGCGAGAGCACGCCUCCGCGCGGACCAUGUCCCAUGCUCUUUUAAGGAAUAUCUUUCGGAUUCUACUCCUGUACCUAGUUCUGGUGCCAGAUGCGCCAUCCCUUUGCAUGAAGGCAAUCCAAGAAGAGUAUGAGAAUGUGUUAUUCCCCUUCAUUACUUACCUGAACAAUUUGAUCCAGGACACCCCAUCGUGCAAUUCAACUAAGGAAAAUUCGACUGGACAGAUUACUGCUAGCUACAGGUGCUGUUGCAGAUCAAAUAAGGAGAGAGCCCUACGGUGUAUGGCAAAAUACCUUAAAAAAAUGUCCAAAACAUCAUGUAUCUCCACCAAGGAGGAGAUAAAACAAAGAAUGGAAUACGUUUCCACCGUUACACUGAUGCUACAGGAGAAAUACACCAACACCACUGCUUCAACAGCACAAAAAAGAGAGUCUUGUCGAUGCACAGACUGCUGCUGCAAAAUGCUUGAUCCCAUAUGUUGUACAAAGAAAGUAAUUUUUGACUUAAUGUCUUGUUGGAGGCAUUUUAUCCUAUAG